GACGAACGCUGGCGGCGUGCCUAAUACAUGCAAGUAGAACGCUGAAGGAGGAGCUUGCUUCUCUGGAUGAGUUGCGAACGGGUGAGUAACGCGUAGGUAACCUGCCUGGUAGCGGGGGAUAACUCUUGGAAACGAUAGCUAAUACCGCAUAAUAGCAGUUAUUGCAUGAUAACUGUUUGAAAGGUGCAAUUGCACCACUACCAGAUGGACCUGCGUUGUAUUAGCUAGUUGGUGGGGUAACGGCUCACCAAGGCGACGAUACAUAGCCGACCUGAGAGGGGGAUCGGCCACACUGGGACUGAGACCCGGCCCAGACUCCUACGGGAGGCAGCAGUAGGGAAUCUUCGGCAAUGGACGGAAGUCUGACCGGGCAACGCCGCGUGAGUGAAGAAGGUUUUCGGAUCGUAAAGCUCUGUUGUAAGAGAAGAACGAGUGUGAGAGUGGAAAGUUCACACUGUGACGGUAUCUUACCAGAAAGGGACGGCUAACUACGUG
rnacentral:rRNA from 1 species